rnacentral:lncRNA from 1 species
UGUCAAUGUGGGGUUUACUAACCACACUCGUACGAAAAAUCUUUUUUUUUUUACAGAAACAAGGGUCGGUAUUUCGUUCAUUUUAAAAAUAUGUAUGAACACAUUUUUACUUACCUUUCGUUUAAUGUUUUUGGUCUGUUUCAGAUUCGAAAAUGCUGUUUCCCUUGUGAAUAAGACAUUAACUCUCUCGAAUUUUCUAUCGAUGUUCCUCGAUGUUCAACGUAACAUUUGUGGUUCAAAUUUAAAAAGAUGCAUGCGCAAUGAGCU